rnacentral:lncRNA from 1 species
UUGAUGUUUGGUAACCUUAAAUGGGAAAUCUUUACCCUCAGCCGUGAUGUCCACAUUACCAUUCUGAAAAACGUUAGUAACUAGAAAAGGACCUUUCCAUCGAGACUCUUGUUUCCCUGGAGAUGAUUUGAAAUAGGAACUUAACAACCACACUUUUUUACCAGGCUGUAUUUUUGCACAACUUGGACUGCUUUGCAAUUUUUUAUUGCCCUUGACAUUCAAAUGUUUUGGUCAAUCUGGUGGCAAAUCACAUUUUGAGUCUUUAUGGGCAGCUUGCCAAUAGAUGAUCUGGUCACAAAAUUGGCAUGAGGUAAACCAUUUAAUACAUCAACAUGCAUGCAUUCUUGUGUCACCUGAAUGUAUGCUUGCUUCGAACAACUUGAAAACAACCGUUUGAUCUUCAACUCGGAAUGUUAAUGUUCCGACUUCCACAUCAAUAAGAGUUCAGGCUGUUGCCAAGAAUGGGCGGGCCAAAAUGAUGGGUGUUGUCAAAUCCUCAUCCAUGUCCAACACCAUAAAAUCAGCCAGUAAAUAUAAAUUGUCAACCUUCACAAUAACAUCUUCAAUGACUCCUCUAGGAUAGGUAAUUGAAUGGUCAGCCAAUUGAAUAAUGUUGGAGGUCGACUUCAGCUCUCCUUCACCUAAACGUUUAAAAACAGAAUAAGGCAUUAAGUUUACACUAGCACCUAAAUCAAUUAAAGCAUUAUUAAAAUCACAAUUUCCAAUGGUGCAAGAGAUA